AAAAAGGAAAUUAAGCCAUCAAAAGAAUGAGGUUGAAGGCUAGCAAACGUGAAAGGGGUUGGAAAAGGGGAAAAUCCCCAAAUCACUUGAGAAGAAUGGGGAAAUCCCUAAGUCAAGCCUCUUCUCCCAUUCUCUUAUGCCAUCUUCAAUCUCACCGAUACAGGGUGACGUCGUGGUUGCGAAUCUCGCCGGGAGAGGGAGCCAUUGAUGGUUGGAGAACAAGGUAUGAUCAUCUCCUCCGUCUUCUCUUCUCCAUUCUUCUUCGACGGCGGCGACGGUAACCAAGGACUGUCCAUGGCGGUUUUUUCGCUUUUUUGGCGGCAGUGACAAUGAAUCCACGGCUGGAACUGAGCUGGCCGUGCCGACACGGCAAUGGUGAAACCCCAAGGUCAUCUUCUUCUUGGCUUCGGGUAGCUCGCGAUUAAGAGCGAAGCGCCGCUGGUUCGUGACGGUUCUCGACCAAAAAGCAUAUCGGUUAUGGUUCUAAGAACCAAGGUGAAUUGAUCGAUGAAGAUUAAAUUAGGGACCUUGGUGGUUGUGGCUCUGAAUCAGCAACGUCAAGGGAAAUUGGUAAGCUACCAUAUCCCUUUAGUAUAAGAUGUUUCUGUUUACUGUUCAUGUUGUACACUUGUGGCUGAUGCUGAAGGUUGAUGUCGUUAUUGUAGAUGUUGUUUUGUUGUUGUUAUGGCUGAUUCGGAUUGUUAAAGGUUUGAUUUCAAGGUGCUGCGGGAUCAAAGUUUGGUUUUUCUAAUAAUGGGUUCGGUAAUUUUAUUUUGAGAAAGCUUGUCGAAUUCUCUGAAAUAAUAGUGAUUAUUAGUGGUAUUUGUGGUGUUCCUUGAAGAUGAGGGAAGCCUAUCCCUUUUUGGUGUCGGGAUGAAGGUUCAAUUUGGCGAUUUAUACUCCCUUUUCUAUCAAGGGAAAGAUUCAGAUCCGAGACCCAGGGGAAUCCGGGUUUUAUGGGUCAACAUGAACCAUGUAAGUGUGAAGAAUGUGGAAUGUGGGAUGUGAACAGGAUAAACCCCUGCCUUGUAUCUUUUGCGACCUGUUACUGACUAUGAAAUUUGUUCUGUUGCAUUAGUUGUGUGCGGUUUUGUGUUUACCUUGAUCAAAAAGUCGAUGUUCUCUACUAUUUGGUUGUGUAUUUGUUAUGUUUUACCCAUUAGUGAUAGGUUGGUAGAAAUAAAGUCAAGGUUUCUCUUAUUAGAAUUAUCAUAACCCUUUCAAGUAUGUUCUUUUUUGUGUGUUUGCAUAUGGUGUGUUGGUCACUUUUCAAUUAAAGUUCUAGAUUUAUAAACACAUAAUGAUAGGAACACAAAAUAAAAAUGAAAUGAUUCUAAUAUGGUUGACUAAAGGAGGACGAACAUGUGUGUGUAUAUAUGACAUGCAUGUUGGAAUGCCCUCUUGUUGUGUAUGCGUGAUUGUAGGUGUAUGUAUGUGUGAUCUAUGAUGGCUUGUGUUGCAGGUGUAUAAUCUGUGACUGUUCUGUGAUUUCUUGUUAUGUGUCUUUUUCACUGAGUGCCCUCCUCUUUCUGGUAUGCGUGCUGUCCCUUAUAUAGGUGAUUGUGGUGGUCUGAUGGUUUGCCCAAAAUGUGUAACAUGCCCUGAUUCUUCUGGUCAUCAUUGCUGAUUGUAACUGAAACAUUAAUUUAUGGUUUGCAUUUGUGACUAUAACUGAAAUGACAAUGAUUUCAAAUUACUUUUGCUUAGCAUUGUCCUUUGGGAUUUUAUUGACUGAUAAUUCAUGGCUGGUUCCUUAGGAGUGUGUAACAGCCAUAAUUCUUUGUUAACACUCCCUCCACUGUUUCUUUUUGUGUAUCUCAAUCUGUUUUACUUUUUCUUUUGGGUUAUUUUUCAUUGAUGCUCCUGUAACUGCUCAAUUACUUUCCCGAAUGGUUCAUUUCUCUCCUGAAAUUCAUCCUCUGAUUGGUAUGAUUUGUAGUAUUUUUGCUGCUUAUGAAUGAUGUCAUUUAUGCUGAUGUUGUGUAACUGAAGAUGUCAUUUAAGACUGAUUUCUUUCUGCAUAUCUUCCUUGCCAUCUUUUAAGAUGUUGUUCUAAGAUCUCGCAGCUGACUUUCAGCAAUAAUUAAUUGUUGGUAGCUUCCAUUCGAAAUUCCUUCAGUUGUAGCUCAUGGCUGGUUUCUCUUUAUAUAAUACCAUUUAUGCUGAAAAUGUGUAACUGAUUGAGGAUAUUUUUGGUUUUGUCUUCUCUUUUGAAAUUGAUCACGUGUCUAACUGAUUAUUUGGGUUAUUCCAAUCAAUUCUUGAAAAUAUCGAUUACCACUAUUAAUUCACAGCGGGUGUCAUUACAUCCCUUCAGUCACUAACCAGUGAAACUCCAUGCAGGUAAUUGUAACCUUGUGGCCCCCUUAUAUCCAGGAUCGUGAAUGAGCCCCUAUUUUCAACCACCUUGACCAUGUUGAACAUUCUUCUAUUUGCAUAUUAGAAGCUGUUGAAGUUGCUUUGAUGACCCUCCAAUAUACCAGAGGCAGCAACACUAUUGCAACUGGAUUAUAUUAGCAAGCUCGGAAUAUCAUGAAGCCUCCCCUUUGACUUUAACUGGUCAUCAGUUUGAAAUUUGGCUAUGUGUAUAGUUUAGCAGAACACAUCAUGCAACUUUAGUUUAUAGGUAAGGCUCAUAGGUUUGUACAAUAUCAACUAAAGGAAGAGUCCAAUAAAUAACAAAUUAUGCUGAAAUAUGCAAUAUGUUACUAACAUUUCAUAUUUUCAUCAGCCACAUCAGUCGCACAAAUUUAAAGUAUAAUGUGAGAUUAAUAGGUCCUGUUUUGGUUGAGAAAAUGUUUUUAUUUUCAUUUUAUACUAUUAUUGAUGGAAUGACAUUUGUACAAUAGACACUUAUGAUAUGUGCAUGA
rnacentral:lncRNA from 1 species